GACGAACGCUGGCGGCAUGCCUAACACAUGCAAGUCAAACGGGGUCCAUGAGAGCUUGCUCUCGGAAGACCUAGUGGCGAACGGGUGAGUAACACGUGAGAAACCUGCCUCGGAGUGGGGAAUAACUCGGGGAAACUCGAGCUAAUACCGCAUACCUUCAGAUGAUCGCAUGGUCGACUGAAGCAAGAAUUUCGCUCUGAGAGGGUCUCGCGGCCUAUCAGCUUGUUGGUGGGGUAACGGCCCACCAAGGCAACGACGGGUAGCUGGAUUGAGAGAUCGAUCAGCCACACUGGAACUGAGACACGGUCCAGACUCCUACGGGAGGCAGCAGUGGGGAAUCUUGCGCAACGGGCGAAAGCCUGACGCAGCAACGCCGCGUGCGGGAUGACGGCCUUCGUGGUUGUAAACCGCUUUCAGCAGGGACGAAAAUGACGGUACCUGCAGAAGAAGCCCCGGCUAACUACGUGCCAGCCGCCGCCGUAAUAC
rnacentral:rRNA from 1 species